rnacentral:rRNA from 1 species
GAUGAACGCUGGCGGCGUGCCUAACACAUGCAAGUCGAACGAAGCACCUUUUGAGAUUCUUCGGAUGAUCGAUUGGUGACUGAGUGGCGGACGGGUGAGUAACGCGUGGGUAACCUGCCCUGUACAGGGGGAUAACAGCUGGAAACGGCUGCUAAUACCGCAUAAGCGCACGAGGAGACAUCUCCUAGUGCGAAAAACUCCGGUGGUACAGGAUGGGCCCGCGUCUGAUUAGCUGGUUGGCAGGGCAACGGCCUACCAAGGCAACGAUCAGUAGCCGGUCUGAGAGGAUGAACGGCCACAUUGGAACUGAGACACGGUCCAAACUCCUACGGGAGGCAGCAGUGGGGAAUAUUGCACAAUGGGGGAAACCCUGAUGCAGCAACGCCGCGUGAGUGAAGAAGUAUUUCGGUAUGUAAAGCUCUAUCAGCAGGGAAGAUAAUGACGGUACCUGACUAAGAAGCUCCGGCUAAAUACGUGCCAGCAGCCGCGGUAAUACGUAUGGAGCAAGCGUUAUCCGGAUUUACUGGGUGUAAAGGGUGCGUAGGUGGCAGUGCAAGUCAGAUGUGAAAGGCCGGGGCUCAACCCCGGAGCUGCAUUUGAAACUGCAUAGCUAGAGUACAGGAGAGGCAGGCGGAAUUCCUAGUGUAGCGGUGAAAUGCGUAGAUAUUAGGAGGAACACCAGUGGCGAAGGCGGCCUGC